CCGAAUGGGGAAACCCAGUGUGAUUCGUCACACUAUCAUUAACUGAAUCCAUAGGUUAAUGAGGCGAACCGGGGGAACUGAAACAUCUAAGUACCCCGAGGAAAAGAAAUCAACCGAGAUUCCCCCAGUAGCGGCGAGCGAACGGGGAGGAGCCCAGAGCCUGAAUCAGCAUGUGUGUUAGUGGAAGCGUCUGGAAAGGCGCGCGAUACAGGGUGACAGCCCCGUACACAAAAGCGCAUGUGCUGUGAGCUCGAUGAGUAGGGCGGGACACGUGGUAUCCUGUCUGAAUAUGGGGGGACCAUCCUCCAAGGCUAAAUACUCCUGACUGACCGAUAGUGAACCAGUACCGUGAGGGAAAGGCGAAAAGAACCCCGGCGAGGGGAGUGAAAAAGAACCUGAAACCGUGUACGUACAAGCAGUGGGAG
rnacentral:rRNA from 1 species